GCCUCCUUAGCUCAGUGGUAGAGCAUUGCACUUGCAUUGCACUUAUAUAGAUGCGUGUUGGACGUUUGAGAAUAAUAUCUUCUACAAUGCAAAGGCCAGCGGUUCAAUCCUGCUAGGAGGCA